UUUAUAGGAUGAGUUCCAAAGACAUAACGGGCGGACUAAAUUGGUCACAUACCAAGUCUUCAACUGUACAUUGAAGUCGUGAUCGCUUUGUUGAUUUCGAGUCUUACUGA